UCUCUUUCUCUCUCUUCUCUUUCUAUACGAAAACUGAGUCUUCUUCCUCAACCUCCCCUUCUCUUCUUCUUCCUCUUCCUCAACCUUCCUUAACCUCCCCCCUUUUUUUCUUCCUCACCUUCAUUCUGUAACAACAUCAUCACCAUCCUCUUCUAACUCUUUUGUGGUUUAUUUUUCAGGUUAUAGACUGGAUCGAGUUUUACCGGUGAGUUUUGAAGCUUAAAAGGUUAUAGGCUGGAUCGGGUUUUACCGGUGAGUUUUGAAGCUAACAAUGUUAUAAACUAGAUCGAGUUUUACCGGUGAGUUUUGAAGGUGACAAGGUAUGGGUUCUUUUUGGUUUUCUCUCGGGGAUUAUUAUUAUAGUUAUUUUCUAUUUAUAUAUUACUUAUGGUUACUGAAAGGAAUUUUUGUAAGAACGGGACAUUGAAAUUUUCAUUUUUAGCCUUACAAUAAUUUGUAUGCAAAGUCUCUCCCUGUUUUGAUUCAAGAGGAAAUGUAAAAGUGAUUAUGGCUACCAACAGAAUUGAAAGUCUUAAUCAUGCUUUGUUACCACCUGGUCGUAUUGACUAAUAUGUAACACCAUUAUUAAGUUAACUUUGGGUGGAUCAUAGCUACUCAUUUGUCUCUGUACUCGACAAUCCUUAUUAUCCCAGUAGUACUGUUGUUUGGUUAUGGCCCUGAUGCUCCCCCUAGGAAGUUAUUCCUGCAAAGGAAGAAUCUUGAAGUUCAUGAUUUCAAGGAGGCCAAUUGUGUUUUUUUUUUGUUCUGGGCUUUACUGUGGUCGUCCUACGUUUUAAUCCUCCCGCUGCAGAUCACAAUUGUUGGAAUAAACCUGAGUCAAUUAACGGGGAACGACCUCUCUUACAAGUGAACACAUCCUCUCCCGGAUCAGAUGUUGCAGGUGAAACUACAACAGCCAUGGCAUCAGCGUCUUUGGUUUUCAGAAAUACGAAUCCUACAUAUUCAAUGGACAAGUUCAUGCCUAUGAAAGAUCAAACCGAGUAUAUAACUACACAUUGGAUCCAUGCGGUCCUGUUCAUAUCACGGUUGGUGACGGUAGUAACUGGGAAAAGAUGGCGAUUACUCAUGCGGAUGAACCAGGAAACUGUAAAGGAUUAUGCUUUUUUAUUAGUUGUCUACCUUUAUGUAGUUUCUCAGUUUUUUUUAUAUGGUCUACUAUUCUUGAUAUUGUUUAAUAGAGACGUAAAGUUGUUGUUGUUACUAUACAGAUGCAAAUAAAAGCAGUGUUUGUAAAAAACAAAGUUUGGACCGUUAAAGAUGCUACUUUUGUUUAAGAUAAGUGCUUCUUUAACUAUUAAGCACAUGCAUCUGCAUGCUUACUCUUGAAUUUUUCUUUUUUGUAGAAUAUGUUGAAGCUUACAGAAGGAAUAUUCAAUUCAAUGACAAGGAGAGAAUUCCAAUAGUAGAUUCUCAUCUCUCAGAUGCUCACGUCUAUAUGCUAGAAAACCCUAAAGAAUUUGACGUUGUAAGGCGAUGGUUGCUACUAAUAUGCACUUUCAUUCACCUUUUCAUCAAUGAUGUCAAUCGUAGAGAUCAGAAAAUAGUCGACUAUUUAGAUUACACAAUGAAUACUGUCAUAACGGUGCUAUAGCUGCUAUUUGACAACACUUUGUACUAAAUAGUUGAUUUACAACUCAGUCGAAGAUCUGUAAUUGGUGAUUUUUAACGCAACAUAAAGUU